UACGUAGGAUGCGAGCGUUGUUCGGAAUUACUGGGCGUAAAGCGCACGUAGGCGGCUUUGUAAGUUAGAGGUGAAAGCCCGGGGCUCAACUCCGGAAUUGCCUUUAAGACUGCAUCGCUAGAAUUGUGGAGAGGUAAGUGGAAUUCCGAGUGUAGAGGUGAAAUUCGUAGAUAUUCGGAAGAACACCAGUGGCGAAGGCGACUUACUGGACACAUAUUGACGCUGAGGUGCGAAAGCGUGGGGAGCAAACAGG
rnacentral:rRNA from 1 species